AGGUUCAGGAGCACCUUUCGCAAAGGUUAAAUCUUUUAUACUUGUUUGAAUUUAUAGAGGUUUGAAGUUCACAUGCAACUCUUUGACUUUUGAAGGUUGAAUAAUUGUCCUUAAUGACUACAUUUAGCAUUGUCUAAAAUGUUCUGCAAGUUCUAAAUUAUUAGAGCAUUUUCAAGGCAACAAGGUUUUAAAAGAGAACGAUAGAUACUAAAAGACUGCAAUUGCAGGGAAAAGCGAGGAAAUGUUGGUUUGAUCUGCAAAUAAAGGGAAGCCAUCAAAAUUUUCUAGCAAACGAGUAGCAUUCAUCGACGAUACUGUAUAAACGCGUCAAAUUUUAAUCCAGAAGUUGCCAGACCAAAAUCUACCAUAGAGGGCUACAACCAAAAAUAGAGAGUAAUGCUGCCACAGCUCUUGGGAAGAAACAGAUUUUGAUUCUUCUCUCCAAUAGCCAAAUAUAGUGUUUCGGGACAGGGUUUUACCUCUACCAUUUGGAAGUGGGCAUAUAUGCCAUCAAUUCUCUUCCAACUGUAAAUCAGCACAAAGCCGCUGUCAUCUCAUCAACCAUUCAUACGUCGAAACACAGGCUAACACAGGCAGAGAAGAAAACACGCCAUGGCAAGGAACCCAGGUGGUUUGUCGAUUAGGCUGAUUUAAACAGUCACACAAGAUUAUAUUGGGGAGUACUGCAUUCCUGAAUCCUGAUUGAUAAAACUCAAUCCUUACAGGAAACCAAAUGUGAAGAUAUUGGUUCCGGUUUGGCUUUUGCUGAUUUAGUUCAUACAUCCAAAAUCGCCUGAGGCUCUAGCUGAACCUCUCGAACAGAAUCUGCACUUGUUUUACUAAACAGAUGCAUAAUCUGACCAAUGCCAUAGUGUUACUGCUUCAGGCAUGCCAAUAUAGAGCAUCUAGCAGCAUCGUGUAACCAAGACAGAUCAUCUGAUAUUAGGACUUUCACUCCCUAAAGAAAAAUGCUUGUACAGACUUGUGAUCAUAAAUGAAAAGAACAAGUGACAAUGCAACUGCAACUGUGAAAAUAGCAGUUAAGAAAAAUUUACCCAAGAAUCUUCGCAAGUUUUCCAGCUUGACACAAGGAUAGGGGUAAGGUCUGCGUACACACUACCCUCCCCAGACCCCACUAAGUGGGAUUAUANNNNN
rnacentral:lncRNA from 1 species